rnacentral:misc_RNA from 1 species
GAUGAAGAACGCAGCGAAAUGCGAUAAGUAGUGUGAAUUGCAGAAUUCAGUGAAUCAUCGAGUCUUUGAACGCACAUUGCGCCCCCUGGUAUUCCGGGGGGCAUGCCUGUCCGAGCGUCAUUGCUGCCCUCAAGCACGGCUUGUGUGUUGGGCCCCGUCCUCCGAUCCCGGGGGACGGGCCCGAAAGGCAGCGGCGGCACCGCGUCCGGUCCUCGAGCGUAUGGGGCUUUGUCACCCGCUCUGUAGGCCCGGCCGGCGCUUGCCGAUCAACCCAAAUUUUUAUCCAGGUUGACCUCCGAUCAGGUAGGGAUACCCGCUGAACUUAAGCAUAUCAAUAAGCGGAGGA